UGGGUAUAGGAUUUGGUAUGACUAUUAAAUUUAUUUACCAUGUCAGAAUCGUAAGAUAGCAGCAUAAAAUAGACAUUUUUAGUUAGUAUGAAACCUAUACCUGAUAAUUAAAUAUAUUUUUUAGUUUAAAU
rnacentral:SRP_RNA from 1 species